rnacentral:lncRNA from 1 species
CUGAUGAGGAAAAAAGCUUCAAAAUUGAAUUUUGGAGGAGAAUUGUGAUGACAGAGUUAGAGAGAGAGAAAAAUGGAGGGAGAAGAUGGGAGCUGAAGAAGAAGAACGGCGUGGAUCUAAGCCGAGAGAGAAAGAAGGAACAAAGAGAUUGAGAGGAAGAGUUUUUUGUUGAAGCCGAGUUGAAAAAAAGAAGCUUUAGAUCUGUUUCUCUCUCUUUCGUAUGCUGCGGCUUCAAGACAGAGACAGAGAAAGAAAAGAAACAACAAAAGCUGUUGUCUUUGUUUUGUUGGCUCAAUCUUUGUUUCAC